rnacentral:rRNA from 1 species
GGGCUACACACGUGCUACAAUGGCUAGUACAAAGGGUUGCCAACUCGCGAGAGUGCGCUAAUCCCAUAAAGCUAGUCGUAGUCCGGAUCGGAGUCUGCAACUCGACUCCGUGAAGUCGGAAUCGCUAGUAAUCGCGUAUCAGCAAUGACGCGGUGAAUACGUUCCCGGACCUUGUACACACCGCCCGUCAAGCCAUGGAAGUUGGGUAGACCUGAAGAUGGUUGCUGUAAGGCGCUAUUUAGGGUAGAACCA